CACUCUGGAUUUUUUGCUGUGCAUGUUUUAUACAGUCUAUGCCCUGGAUGCAGAAUCCAUUCAUCAAGGGGCAGGCUCAUUCAGAACAAACCACUCCAAGCCGAGCCCUUCAAAAACCUUGAAUUGGUGCAUGUGCCACAUUUGAAAAUGGCGCUAAAAAUAUGAUACACAAAUAUGAACAAAUCAGGCUCCAUUAUUUGGAGAAAACAGAUUUUCUUCAUAGCAUGGUAAAUGCAAUGUGAGUAAACUGUACCAAAAGGGAACCGUGUAGAUGCACCAGAUUUCAUCACAUUCAAAACAGCCCAUCCUAUAAAGAAAUGUCACUGGUUCAGAAUCAUAACUUAAGAUAUGUUCUGAUUGGCUAUAAUUGUGUUGCUCUUUGCAGAUGGUUAAAAAACAGAAAUUGUGCUCACAAUGAUCAGGUGAGAAAAAAAUCAGUAGUCUGAAUGUAGUUUACUUUAUCUGUUGAGUUGUUUAUAGACAUUACAUAUUUUCUCUCUAUUCUUUGUGUUUGUUUGUUUGUUUGUUUGUUUGUUUUAAUGGCAAAGAUGAAUCAUGAUGACCAAGUUUGUUAUGUUGAAAUGACUGAUCCUGUGUAUGAGAAUGUAACUGAUACUCAACAUGGCUCUAAUACCUGUAAACCUGAACCGAACUCUUCUGUGUAUGAAAAUACUCCAGUAAGUACAUAGAGACAAAACACAAUCUAGUAGCCUUUCCUAAUGACUAAUGUUCUCAUUAUUUAAAUAUGCCAUUCAUUUUUUUCUUUCUUUCUUUCUUCUUUUUUUCUUAUGAAGAUGAAGAAGAUGAAGUAGUGUUUUGGAAACACAGAACAGUUUUACAGCUUUUAUAAAUCACUUUGUGGGUGUAGGCCUGAAUGAUUGACAGGAGUGUCAUGAUAUGGCUGAAGUAAUUUGCAGAUCAUAUGGGUUAAAAUAGCAGUUAAAGGUUAAUGAAUUGUAAAAGUGUGUAAUCACUUAAACCUCUGGUAUUGUUCAUUUGGGAAUCACACUUAUGUUGUCCGUGGUCAAAACAGACACCUGAAAUGUAACUUUUUUUUUUUCUCAGUAGAAUCAAUGUAAUAUAUUUUUGUUCAAUAAUAUAUAUAUAUUUUUUUGUUGUUGUUGAGAGAGAGAGAGAAUUUCAUUGUACUAAUAAAUAUUUAUGAAAUAAUUAUAUAUUUUUUCUU
ensembl:lncRNA